rnacentral:lncRNA from 1 species
GACAAAUCGCCAGUAUGGUUUCUAGUACCAGAAAGAUGAUGACAUUACAGAGAAGUACGUUUGUGCAGCUCCAAUCACCUAAAAGAAGAUCUGGACUGUUUUGUUUCUGCAGGAAGGAAGAAGGAGAAAAGAAGACAAGAAGGAUAAGCUUGUGCAGCUGGUGCCAUGUUAGGCAGACUGGAAUCAGCCCUGAUAUGCCCCAGCAGGCAUCUGGAGCCCAUUAGUGCUGCAUCAGGUGGACAAGCACAGAAUGGAAAUACAAGUUCACAAGGUCUGAGGCCAGGAAAUAAAUACGCACAGCAUUAGUAUGACA